UCGGACAGCAACUUCAAAGUCAUUUGUAGAAGGCUAUAACAUUUGGACGACGGAUACACUGGAUGAUAAGGUAGAUGAUCCAGCCUUAUCUUGGAAUGACACGACGGGUGUUGAACACAGAAAACGUACCGUGUACAAGACACAAUUGGAGUUUAUGAAAGCUUCAAGGAAUUAAUCCUGCCGGGUACCCAUUCACUU